rnacentral:rRNA from 1 species
GACGAACGCUGGCGGCGUGCUUAACACAUGCAAGUCGAACGGAAAGGCCCUGCUUUUGUGGGGUGCACGAGUGGCGAACGGGUGAGUAACACGUGAGUAACCUGCCCUUGACUUUGGGAUAACUUCAGGAAACUGGGGCUAAUACCGGAUAGGAGCUCCUGCUGCAUGGUGGGGUUUGAAGAGUUUCGGCGGUGGGGGAUGGGCCCGCGGCUUAUCAGCUUGUUGGUGGGGUAGUGGCCUACCAAGGCUUUGACGGGUAGCCGGCCUGAGAGGGUGGACGGCCACAUUGGGACUGAGACACGGCCCAGACUCCUACGGGAGGCAGCAGUGGGGAAUAUUGCACAAUGGGCGGAAGCCUGAUGCAGCAACGCCGCGUGGGGGAUGACGGCCUUCGGGUUGUAAACCGCUUUCGCCUGUGACGAAGCGUGAGUGACGGUAAUGGGUAAAGAAGCACCGGCUAACUACGUG